rnacentral:lncRNA from 1 species
GAUGGCUUAAGUCACAUGAUCAAACACAUACAUAGAUCAAUGGCUUAGGUCCCAUGAUCAACUUAUUAACAUAGAUCAAUGGCUUAGGUCCCAUGAUCGCACAUAACAUCAUAGAUCAAUGGCUUAGGUCUCAUGAUCACACAUAACAAAAUAGAUCAAUGGCUUAGUUCUCAUAAUCGCACAUAACAUCAUAGAUCAAUGGCUUAGGUCCCAUGAUCACACAUAACAACAUAGUCAUAAGAUGCACGUAAACAAGUAAUCAAACGCGAUAAUAAAAUAUAUAUAACCAUAUGAAUAAGCGUAAAAUCCCUCACCUUAGUAUCCAAGCUUAUAAAUUCAAUCAAAUCUGAAACGAGGAUCCUAGUUACACCGUACCUAAUUAAAUAGAUAAAAUGUUUCAAUAUGAAUCCUAACUAUAACUUAAAUUCGAAUUCUGUAAAUAAAUCUUAUAUAAUUAAAUAUAUAUACUUAAGCAUUAAAAAUAUAAACCUUUUGGAAUUAAACUAAAUUAUUUAGAAUUUAAAGAAAUUUAAUAAGUUUAUAAAAAAAAUACUCCUAUACUAACAAUUACCGUCAACUAUCUUAAUUAUAGAAAAACUGAUUUAACUUAAAUCAAUUAACUACAUAAAAAGAAAGAUUUUCGGAAUUCCAGAUUUGGUUAGCUCAAUAAAAAUAAAACGCCACUUUAUAAAUUCAUUAGAAUUUUGAAACUUAAACAAUGAUGUAACCAAAUAAGUCUUCGCAGACUACUACUUGAAAAAGAAAAAAAAAGUUUUAAACUCCAUCCAAAAAUAUUGUCUAAGCCAAAAAGGAUUAUAAUUUAAUUGAACAAAAGCAUUAAUAUACUAAAAAUGAUUAAAUCUGAAUUGACCUUUUACGAAAAGCUUUACAGAUGAAUGGGUAUCAAAG